AAGACUAUACUUCACAGGAUCAUUUCUGUAGUCAGUCUUCUUUUACUUUAAAUGCAAAGUAAACACAACUUUACCCGCGAUGAGGAGGUAUAUCGUUUUAUCUGUAGCGUGAGGAUAUGAGUGCUAUUACGGGUUAGAACGUGUUCUGACAUUGAAAUGGCAACUCUUCGAUGAUCGCUCGGUUAAACGGAUAAAACGACUUCUGAGUGGU
rnacentral:snoRNA from 12 species